UCUUCCUACCCCAGCUUACCUCUUGGCAGCCCCGAGCUGCUCCCUAUUGUUAAAAGGGGUACGCCUUGAUCUUUCUUCAUCAUGACGGGACUUGCUUCCUCUUCAAAGGGCAUGGUGCUGCAGGUCAUUGGUCUAGACUAUUUGCACGGUCCAGAGAACAGCCUUGAUGUAACCCUUGCUCCUUCUGAUCUAACACCACCAGCAGCGCGUCUGUAGACUGGAGGGGACAUCGGAGAUGUGUAUUUGAAAGGAAGUCUGUCUGAUUUUGCCAUUGUGCCUUUUCACUCAUCGAUCGAAUGAAUAUCGAACCUUCUGUCGUUGCAUGUGUGAAACAGAUAGCUUAGCAAGCACUUUUGUGCCCAACCUGUGUGCUGGGUCAAAGACUGUUCCUUUCAGUCUCAGGAAUUCCUUUCUUCAGAUUUUUGAAUUUUAGGCUAGCUUAGAUGAUUUCUGGGCUUUUCUUUUAAGCAACAGUCAAGAUGACCAUCUGAAUUAUUUCAUCAAGCAGUGAGCAGUGAUUCUCUUGGUCUGAAAUCGUGCUUUUUUUUUUUCCCCCUUUCCUGUCAACUGUGGUUUUUUUUGGUUUUUUCUAUAGUUUUUCUUUAAAAAUUUUUUUUUCAGUUUAACUCAUCUGUUACUCAAAGUGGUGAAUCUCAGCUGUACCCUAAUAAGCCAGAAAAUUGAGGUAUCUUUUGAAAGAAGAUGUUAGGUGAUGUUUGUCAUUUAACAAUCUUAACUCCAGAUAUGUGAACUUGAACUGCCUCAAGGUAAUUCCAGUAACUUGUUAAGAGUAAGUAGAUAAAAUAAUCACACUGAUCUUAAGUUAAAAAAAAAAAAGAAAAAAAUAUAUAUAUAUUGAUUUGGUAAGUUCUGUAGAUGGGAAAAACUUUAUUCCCCUCCUUUAAUUUUUUUUUUUGUGUGUGAAAAUGUUAUUCUGAUGUGCUGAAAUAUACUUAAAAGCACAUAAACUCAUUGAUGUGAUUUAGAAAAUAAACAUGUUUAUAGUAUGUAUCUUGUGACCUGAUCUAAUUAGGAAUUCUAAUAUGAAAACAUGCCAUUGUCAUCUUAAGAAUGCUUCUCUUACAAUUCACUACUUGUCAUAAACGAGAGUUGUUGAAGAGAAUGAGUAGUGAGAACACACCUACUGGGUCUAAAAUGUGUUGUGUCACUGAGUCCUUAAAGAAUCUGAAUUACUUCACAUUGUGUCAAAUGCUGUCUUUACUGAGUGCCCUUAGGUCUCGUUCUGUUGUAAGAAACCUCUGUUGUCUACUUCAAGGCAUACCUAUUUUCUCUAAUUGCCGCAGCAAAGGGGCGGUCCGGGGCCAGAAUAAAGAAGUUUAUUGUGAUGAAACAUAAUUCACUGUGAGUCCCCCUUUCAUCCAGCCUGGAGAAGCAGAGGACUGCUCCCAGGCUGACUUUGCAGGUCGAAUGUCUGAGCUGAGCUGCUUCUACUGACACAGAAGCAUAGGCAAAGGCAGAAAACUGAAUUUCUCUUCAGCAGGGUGGUGAUUAUUAUGAUAGUUUUUUUUUUUUUUUUGACGUUUGGGGAUCUAAUUUUGUUCAUUUCAAAUAGAAUAUAUUCUAGAAAAAAGGGGAUUCCAAAGAAAUGGAAGGAGUAGGAAAGAAGGGUAGAAAACAGUAAACUUAAUGCAAUAAAAGUUGGCGUCUGGUAUAGUAGACAAAGAGAAAUGAAGAGUUAAAUACUGUUCUCUAUUUCUUGGCAUGCACAUGGCAAAGUGUCAUACUUUGGGCAACAAAUAUUUGAGCUGCAAAAUCAGACUACCCUUUUCAGACUGACCAAGCACUGGCCUCACAGAAGAAUCCUACAAUCAUGGUCUUGGACAGGAUGAACUUAAUCAGAGUAAAUUCAGAACUUGCAGGUCAGAGAUGGGAAGACAGAAGCACCUGGUAGUAACUCAGGAUGGAAUAUUUUCAGAUUGCAGUUGACUGCAGAUAACUGGAAGCUCCAAGAAUGAAACCGAGAGAAGAAAGAUUCUCCUUGCUGUUUCUUGGCAUCUGAUGAACUGACUAACACGCUUAGCAAGUUGGUUCUCCAGGUGACAAAUAAAUCAACUUUGUUUCUGCUGAACAGUCAGAAAUAUAAAAGCUCAUUUAGGUGUUUAAGAAUUUUUAAGUACCUGAUCAGAUUAAUUUUGGGGAAAGAUAAAAUAUGUUCAGUUUUAUACCUAAAGGAGUAAAAUCCUAAGGCUGGGGUAAGUAGUGAGAGUCAUGUAUUAAUCAGAUAUAACCAAACCCACACUUCGAAAUUAAUAAAAACGUAUCAGUUACGCUAACUUACAAGGUGUUUCUGCUGACUGAGGUGCUUAAUCACAAGCUUCAUUAUAUUUAUUCAGGACCUUAAAGACAAAUCAUUAUGGCACUGUAAAUCAGGUAUUAAAACAUGUGAUUAACAGCUUCCAUUUACCAUGGCAAUACCAUGGUUGGCGGUUUUCAUUGGAACUCCUCUUUUACAACUUUAUCUGAACAUAUCUUGCACCUCUGAGACAAUAGC